CCUACGGGUGGCAGCAGUGAGGAAUAUUGGUCAAUGGGCGGGAGCCUGAACCAGCCAAGUCGCGUGAGGGAAGAAGGUACUGAGUAUUGUAAACCUCUUUUGCCAGGGGACAAAGGCGGCCACGGGUGGCCGUAAGCCGGUACCUGGAGAUACAGCAUCGGCUAACUCCGUGCCAGCAGCCGCGGUAAUACGGAUGAUGCGGGGGUUAUCCGGGUUUAUUGGGUUAAAGGGGUGGGCAGGCGGCGUGUCAAGUCGGCGGGAAAAUGUCGGGGCCAAACCCCGGCCCGCCGUUGAAACUGGCUGGCUGGAGAUGUGGAGAGGUAUGCGGAAUGCGCAGUGUAGCGGUGAAAUGCUUAGAUAUUGCGCAGAACUCCGAUGGCGAAGGCAGCAUACCGGCGGCGAUCUGACGCUGAGGCACGAAGGCGUGGGUAUCGAACAGGAUUAGAUACCCGGGUAGUC
rnacentral:rRNA from 1 species